rnacentral:rRNA from 1 species
UGGGGAAUAUUGGACAAUGGGCGAAAGCCUGAUCCAGCGACGCCGCGUGGGUGAAGAAGGCCUGCGGGUUGUAAAGCCCUUUCGGUAGGGACGAAAGCUCUUGCCCUAAUACGGCAGGAGGUUGACUUAACCUACAUAAGAAGCACCGGCUAACUCUGUGCCAGCAGCCGCGGUAAUACAGAGGGUGCGAGCGUUAAUCGGAAUUACUGGGCGUAAAGCGCACGUAGUCGGCUUUGCAAGUCGGGUGUGAAAUCCCCGGGCUCAACCUGGGAACUGCAUUCGAGACUGCAUUGCUGGAGUAUGGGGGAGGGAAGCGGAAUUUCUGGUGUAGCAGUGAAAUGCGUAGAUAUCAGAAGGAACAUCAGUGGCGAAGGCGGCUUCCUGGACCAAUACUGACGAGCAGGUGCGAAAGCGUGGGGAGCAAACAGG